AGAUUGAACGCUGGCGGCAUGCCUUACACAUGCAAGUCGAACGGCAGCACGGGGGCAACCCUGGUGGCGAGUGGCGAACGGGUGAGUAAUGCAUCGGAACGUGCCCAGUAGUGGGGGAUAACUAGUCGAAAGAUUAGCUAAUACCGCAUACGACCUAUGGGUGAAAGCGGGGGAUUCGCAAGAACCUCGCGCUAUCGGAGCGGCCGAUGUCUGAUUAGCUAGUUGGCGGGUAAAAGCCCACCAAGGCUUCGAUCAGUAGCUGGUCUGAGAGGACGACCAGCCACACUGGGACUGAGACACGGCCCAGACUCCUACGGGAGGCAGCAGUGGGGAAUUUUGGACAAUGGGCGCAAGCCUGAUCCAGCCAUGCCGCGUGCGGGAAGAAGGCCUUCGGUUGUAACGCUUUUGGCAGGAACGAAACGGCGCGAGCGAAUAUCUCGACGUUAAUGACGGUACCUGCAGAAUAAGCACGGCUAACUACGUGCCAGCAGCCG
rnacentral:rRNA from 1 species